AUGCAUAAUGAUGUUGGGAUGGUGUCCAGCAGAAGGAAUUCCACAGGGGCGUUCCACCGCGACGGCCCGCCCAAGGACUGGUCCCAGUUCGCCGACCCCUCGCCGUCUCCUAAACUGCUGUACUCGCAGUCCUAUGUCGUCAUGAGGGGGCUGCUGGCGUCGCUGGCAUCUCUGGACUUGGCCCUGUGGUCAAGCACGAUGAAGUCCGCAUGGCGAUCGCCCGAGAGGUCGAAGUCUAAGGGGCCGGGCUGCAAGAGAGUUGCGUUCCGGCUGUUUGUUUGUUUCAUGGUCGGCAUCUUCAUCGGGUUCACGCCCUUCUUCUCGGUCGAUGUCUCUCAGAAGAUCGUCUCGAGGCUCCCGUUCGACGAUGGGGUGGAUGAUAAGGUUAAGGAGUUGGAUGCAAUCGUAGUGCAGAAAGAGGUUGAGGUGGUUGAUGAGCCCGAGGUUGAGCAGCUGAGCCCUCCGGUUCCUGCAAUGUUGGAUGAUGAGGUGGAUUUUGUCGAAGCUGCGAAACCUGCUAUUACUGAUUUGGUCAUCCCUGUGAGGAAGCUUCUGAUAGUGGUGACAAUCACUUCUGCUCGGCCACAACAGGCGUAUUACUUGAAUCGUCUAGCUCAUGUUCUGAAAGGUGUACCACCUCCUCUCUUAUGGUUAGUGGUGGAAUGGCCUGUUACUACCUUUGAAACAGCAGAAAUCCUCAGGUCUUCUGGGGUCAUGUACAGGCAUAUUGUCUGCAGGAAGAAUCUUACUAGUGUGCGGAAGAUUGCUGUCUGUCAAAGGAAUAAUGCAAUCUAUCAUAUUAAAAAGCAUCACCUUGAUGGUAUAGUGCACUUUGCUGACGAAGAACGAUCAUACAUGGGUGAUGUAUUUGAAGAAAUGCGGAAAAUCAGGCGCGUUGGUGCAUGGCCUGUAGCGAACCAUGAUGCAAGUAAGUACAGGGUGGUUGUAGAAGGGCCUACGUGUAAAGGAAACCGAAUCACUGGAUGGAACACAAUCCCGAAGAAGGGUGCACCCCGUCGAUUCCCAAUUGGUUUCUCUGGGUUUGCUUUCAACAGUACAAUGCUUUGGGAUCCUCAAAGGUGGAACCGCCCAGCUAUGGAUUCUGUUAUAGUCCACUCUGGUGGUAGAGGUGGUCUGCAGGAGUCACGAUUUGUCGAGAAGCUUGUUAAAAACGAGCGUCAAAUAGAAGGCCUUCCAGACAACUGCAACCGGGUCAUGGUCUGGAACUUCGCCCUGGAACCUCCCCAGCUCAACUACCCCGCCGGAUGGUCACUGUGGAACCACCUUGAAGUUGUCAAAGACCUGUAA
rnacentral:rRNA from 1 species